GGAGAGUUGGCUGAGCGGUUGAAAGCACUCGAUUUGAAAUCGAGCAAGGUGGCAACACCUUCCGGGGUUCGAAUCCCUGACUCUCCGCCA
rnacentral:tRNA from 2 species